rnacentral:rRNA from 1 species
CCUACGGGAGGCUGCAGUGGGGAAUAUUGCACAAUGGGCGCAAGCCUGAUGCAGCCAUGCCGCGUGUGUGAAGAAGGCCUUCGGGUUGUGAAGCACUUUCAGCGGGGAGGAAGGCGGUGAGGUUAAUAACCUCAUCGAUUGACGUUACCCGCAGAAGAAGCACCGGCUAACUCCGUGCCAGCAGCCGCGGUAAUACGGAGGGUGCAAGCGUUAAUCGGAAUUACUGGGCGUAAAGCGCACGCAGGCGGUCUGUCAAGUCGGAUGUGAAAUCCCCGGGCUCAACCUGGGAACUGCAUUCGAAACUGGCAGGCUAGAGUCUUGUAGAGGGGGGUAGAAUUCCAGGUGUAGCGGUGAAAUGCGUAGAGAUCUGGAGGAAUACCGGUGGCGAAGGCGGCCCCCUGGACAAAGACUGACGCUCAGGUGCGAAAGCGUGGGGAGCAAACAGGAUUAGAUACCCUUGUAGUC